rnacentral:rRNA from 1 species
CUACGGGGUGCUCCAGUGGGGAAUAUUGCACAAUGGGCGCAAGCCUGAUGCAGCAACGCCGCGUGAGUGAAGAAGGCCUUCGGGUCGUAAAACUCUGUCCUAAGGGAAGAAUAAUGACGGUACCUUAGGAGGAAGCCCCGGCUAACUACGUGCCAGCAGCCGCGGUAAUACGUAGGGGGCAAGCGUUAUCCGGAAUCACUGGGCGUAAAGGGUGCGUAGGGGGCCUGUCAAGUCAGAAGUGAAAGGCUAUGGCUCAACCAUAGUAAGCUUUUGAAACUGAUGGGCUUGAAUACAGGAGAGGUAAGUGGAAUUCCUAGUGUAGCGGUGAAAUGCGUAGAGAUUAGGAGGAACACCAGUGGCGAAGGCGACUUACUGGACUGUUAUUGACGCUGAGGCACGAAAGCGUGGGGAGCGAACAGGAUUAGAUACCCGCGUAGUC